rnacentral:rRNA from 1 species
AUUGAACGCUGGCGGCAGGCCUAACACAUGCAAGUCGAACGAGUGGCGGAGGGGUGAGUAAUGUCUGGGAAACUGACCGAUGGAGGGGGAUAACUACUGGAACGGUAGCUAAUACCGCAUACCAUCGAAUGUGCCCAGAUGGGAUUAGCUAGUAGUGUGGGUAACGGCGCACCUAGGCGACGUUCCCUAGCUGGUCUGAGAGGAUGACCAGCCACACUGGAACUGAGACACGGUCCAGACUCCUACGGGAGGCAGCAGUGGGGAAUAGUGCACAAUGGGCGCAAGCCUGAUGCAGCCAUGCCGCGUGUAUGAAGAAGGCCUUCGGGUUGUAAAGUACUUUCAGCGAGGAGGCGUUACUCGCAGAAGAAGCACCGGCUAACUCCGUGCCAGCAGCCGCGGUAAUAC